rnacentral:lncRNA from 1 species
AGCCAGCACAGUAAGGCAAGAAGAUGAAGAUAGAAGAAAUGUACUUCCGGUGGUGGAGGAGCUUAAGGUGUGAACAGUCCUGGAAGGAGCCAGAAGCAGCAGAGGACACCAGGGAUGAGGUUGAGGUAGGCAUAGAAGGUAGGCCCCACACCCACCAUCCUCAGGAGGUUUUCCAUCAGAAAACAGGGAAGUUUGUAGAUAAACUGUUUGAGCAGACAAGAGUUUUUGCCUAAAAGUGACUAAAGGAUUUUUAUUUUUUGAGUAGCUGGAGAAUCUGUGAGCUUUAAGCUGGGAAGGAGCAGGUCUACCCAGUGGGUUUUGUAGAGGUAGUCAUACCUUUGGGUCAUUCAGUUCUGCACUCUACACCCUGUGAAUAGGAUGAAUCUAAAAAUCAGUUUAAAAGGUUUAUAAGUGUUUAUACUGCCUCCUAAGUACCUAUUGUUGACCUAAAUAAAGAGGCAAACGGAGGCAAGCUAAAAGAAAUGAGUUUAUGCAGGAAGGGUAAAGGGAUCGCAAUUCAGGACAAGCAAACUGGCAAGCUGCAGGCGGGUCUGCUGAGGGUUGGGGUGGGCUGCACCUACUGGCAGGGAGCAUAGGAGGGGGGAGUCCAGUUAGAGUCUGUUCAAGUAAAAAGCAAACAGAAACACCCUUGAAAAAUUUCCUAAGCAGAUAGAAUCAGACCAGUCAUACACACAAAGCUCAAUUCAGCCCAGUUUGUGGGAUAGUCUGACCUAGGUCGUUUCCAGUUUAUGCCUCUGGCAAAACUUCCCUAGACUGAUAAGAGACAACCUCUGAUCAACCUCCAAUCUGCUAAAAAAUCCCACCCUAUCAGUUUUCUGUAUGUCAGGUAUUUAUGUGGAAUCACUCAGUUGUUUUCCUGAGGGCACAUGUGUGAAAUUCCCCAUUUUAUGUCCUCUGGUUGUAUUUUUUAACUAAGUAACUAACUAACUAACUAACUAACUAACUAACUAACUAACAACAUUUUUUUGAGAAGGAGGAGGGACUAAGGGAGAGGGAGAAAGAGAAUCUUCACUUGAUCUUAGCCAAAAGGCCGAGAAGCGAUGAGAAAGAGAAUCUUAAGCAGACUCCACACUCAGUAUGGAGCCAGAUGCAGGGCUCAAUCUCAUGACCCUGAGAUCAUGACCUGAGCUGAAACCAAGAGUUGGACACAAGGGACUGAGCCACCCAGGUGCCCCUCCUCUG